rnacentral:rRNA from 1 species
GAUUAGCUAGUUGGCGGGGUAACGGCCCACCAAGGCGACGAUCGGUAGCUGGUCUGAGAGGAUGAUCAGCCACACUGGGACUGAGACACGGCCCAGACUCCUACGGGAGGCAGCAGUGGGGAAUAUUGGACAAUGGGCGAAAGCCUGAUCCAGCAAUGCCGCGUGAGUGAUGAAGGCCUUAGGGUUGUAAAGCUCUUUUACCCGGGAUGAUAAUGACAGUACCGGGAGAAUAAGCCCCGGCUAACUCCGUGCCAGCAGCCGCGGUAAUACGGAGGGGGCUAGCGUUGUUCGGAAUUACUGGGCGUAAAGCGCACGUAGGCGGCUUUGUAAGUUAGAGGUGAAAGCCCAGGGCUUAACCCUGGAAUUGCCUUUAAGACUGCAUCGCUAGAAUUGUGGAGAGGUAAGUGGAAUUCCGAGUGUAGAGGUGAAAUUCGUAGAUAUUCGGAAGAACACCAGUGGCGAAAGGCGACUUACUGGACACAUAUUCACGCUGAGUGCGAAAGCGUGGGAGCAAACAGGAUUAGAUACCCUGUAGUCCACGCCGUAACGAUGAUGACUAGCUGUCGGGGCGCUUAGCGUUCCGGUGCGCAGCUAACGCGUUAAGUCAUCCGCCUGGGGAGUACGGCCGCAAGGUUAAACUCAAGAAAUUGACGGGGGCCUGCACAAGCGUGGAGCAUGUGUUUAUUCGAAGCAACGCGCAGAACCUUACCAGCGUUUGACAUGCCAGGACGGUUCCAGAGAUGAUUUCUUCCCUUACCGGACCUGGACACAGUGCUGCAUGCUUGUCGUCAGCUCGUGUCGUGAGAUGUUGGGUUAAGUCCCGCAACGAGCGCAACCCUCGUCUUUAGUUGCUACCAUUUAGUUGGGCGCUCUAAAGAAACUGCCGGUGAUAAGCCGGAGGAAGGUGGGGAUGACGUCAAGUCCUCAUGGCCCUUACGCGCUGGGCUACACACGUGCUACAAUGGCGGUGACAACGGGCAGCAAACUCGCGAGAGUGAGCAAAUCCCAAAAAGCCGUCUCAGUUCGGAUUGUUCUCUGCAACUCGAGAGCAUGAAGGCGGAAUCGCUAGUAAUCGCGGAUCAGCACGCCGCGGUGAAUACGUUCCCAGGCCUUGUACACACCGCCCGUCACACCAUGGGAGUUGGUUUCACCCGAAGGUGGUGCGCUAACCCGCAAGGGAGGCAGCCAACCACGGUGGGAUCAGCGACUGGGGUGAAGUCGUAACAAGGUAGCCGUAGGGGAACCUGCGGCUGGAUCACCUCCUU